UGAUCAAAUCUACGAGAGAAGGUGGCCUUCAGUUUAUUAUUAUUAUUAUUAUUAUUAUUAUUAUUAUUACUAUUAUUACUAUUAUUAUUAUUGUUGUUGUUGUUAUUAUUAUUAAUUGUGCCAAUUAGGUGUGUUUCUGUUUUAGAAUAAAAAUGGAAAGGAAGGGAGAAUUCAUUAUUAGGAAGUUACCAAAGUGGUUAUUGAGGAGGGAGGGAACCAAGCUCUCAAAUCUUGGUGGAACUGAGUCUUGUUCCUUUUUCUUCUAGUGUUAUUCCAAUUCUGUCCGUGUGUAGUUUGUAUAAUUUGAUUAUGUUUGGAAAUUCUCUUUCAAGAGAACUGUAAAUAAUAUUCAGUAUUAUUAUCCUAAUUAUUCGAUUGGUAGAGGUUUCUAUCAUUAUAUUCUUGCUCUUGAAUACAAGAUGCAUCUUUCGGGAGCCUAGAAUAUGAUAACUCGUAGUUAAGUGUGUUUGACUUGAAGCAUUUGUAGGAUGGGUGGCCUUCUAGUAAGUUUCCAUAAAGUGUGUGAGUGAGCCCAAAACACUUAAAAGACUCAUAUUGGUUUAUAGAGACAGUCGAUAAUCUUAAUAGGAAUCUUGUAAUGUUGAGUUAGGAUUCAGAUUUACAAGAAAGCUUAUUCUCAUACAGAUUAUAAUGAUGAAGAUAAGUUUCAUAACCUGAUCAAAUCUACGAGAGAAGGUGGCCUUCAGUCCUUUUUUCUUUUUCUCAAUCUGAUCCGUAGGAAUCAAGCGAGCAUUAAAAGCACCCGGAAUUGAAUCAAAGCGAGACCUCAGUAACUCCAAUGUCCGAAUCUGAAAUCAGAAUGAAAACAGUGACUUAAGUAUUAUAAGAUCCAUAGGUCCGCAGCCACUACAGCAGAAAAACCCACAUGGCUUCCAUUAGCAUAUUAUUUUAAACAACAUAGUUUGUGAUUC
rnacentral:lncRNA from 1 species